UAUGCUGUUUGAUGCAUCGCCCCUUUCUUUUAUGUCUAGUUAUUUUGAAGGAACUAAUUGUAAUUGAAUAAAUAGGCACAACAAGUAGAGGAUUCAGACCUGACACAACUAGCUUUUUAUGCAUGUUGAUGCUUGAUCCUUUCAUAUCAUGUAGACCUGCUACAUAUGAUUUAGCUUGGAGUGAAGGUGAAUUUAUGUAGAAGUUACCCACUUAUAU
rnacentral:misc_RNA from 1 species